GUGAACAUAUUGUUGUAUCUAAGCCUGAUCUAAUCAGAUCUCAGAAGCUAAGUAGGGCUGGGCCUGGUCAGUAUCUGAAUGGGACACAACUGGGAACAAGGUCCCACA
rnacentral:rRNA from 1 species